GGGAGGGCGCGCGGGCCGCUCCCGGGCAGCCUCCAGGCUCCAAGAUGCAAACACGCACGUGGUGGGGUCACCCUGGUGUCACAUACCUGAUAUCACCUCCUCCCAAGAGGACUCCGCCCCCCCCCCAAACGUCCCCCGUGGCACGCACAGGAAAGGAGGCUUCCGGUUGCGGUCCGAUUUGGGGAUCCUGAACCCACCAGAGCUGGUCCGCUCGGCUCUUCUGAGUCCGAGAGGCACGACUUGAAUUCCUCCCCGAAACUCGGUUCCCGUGACCCUUUCCUGAUGUAAAUCCGAGCCUGUGAGAAGCUGAUGAGAGAUGGAGCCGAUUGCUUGGAGGGAGUCCACCACGAGACUGUGGGGGUGGAGGGGGAGAUGCAGAACCUACGGCAAUAGACGACCCCGUUUUUGUGGCAUGGGAAGAUACACACCGGAGAGGGGGAAGGGGACGGGGGCAGGCUGGGUUUUGAGCAAAAGCGUACAUUUGAAAACCCGAAAUAAUUCAGCAAUAAAGGUCCUGGAUAAAAGAUGCGGUCCCAGCACACGGCUAGAGGGGAGAAGCCCGGCGGGGAGCCUGGAGGAGGUCCUACUGGUUAGGCGUUCAAACCUGUUCCUAAGAAGGAGGGAAGGGACGCUGGGAUCAGAACCACUGGGUAUAGUUGAGAUCCGGGGGUAGACGAGUGUAUAUAGUAAACGGUGCUUAGAGAAUUCUUAAAAACAAAACAAGCCCCCACCCCCCACCCCGCUUAAAAAAAAAAAAAAGCUGCUCCAGGUACAAGCAAGCUCCAGCAGAUUUACUGGGAGGGGAGGGGCUGGGAGGGGAGGGGCGGACGCGGAAGGAAAUGGCUUUCAGGUGACUUUGAAACAGGAUCCGGGCGGAGGGUGAGGUGAAGACAGCGGGGCUCCUGACUGCGGGGGAGGAGGUAUGCGCGGGGCCUCGCGGGCCCGGGACGCGAACCCACAUUCCUCAGGGAGGAGGGUCUGCGCCUGCCCUGCUGAGCCUACACCGGCCGACGGGGAAGGUGAGAGUCGAGAACGUGGAAGGGGAUUCGGAGGUAAACAGCCGCCACGGCUCGACCAGAUGCAGCCGGCCGGGCUCCGGGCUGGAGGACAAUUGGAGAAGGCCCGGUCCUUCCCUGCCUUCCAGACUGCAGUCCGUCCUCAGGACUCCGUCUUCUUGGAUCCCGCUUUCUUCUCUGCUCACCGGAAUCCUACCAGUACCUUCCUGCCCAUCUCAUAUUCCAGCUUCCUGAGAAAGCUGGUGAUUCAACUAAUCGUUGAGCGCACCCCUUACUCCUCCACCGGAGCGGGAAAUAGUGUUAAUGACUGUAAUAAUAACUCAUUGAGCGAAUGCUUACCAUUUGUAGGUACUAUGCGAUUUACAUUGUCUCGCGUCGUCUACACAGCCGCCUAGGGAGCCAGUAACUAUCUGUAUGCCCAUUUUACAGAUUGGAUAACAGGAUGGGAGGGAUCUAGCAACUUGGCCAAGAUUGUGUAACCAACAAAAGGAGUGCAAGGUGAAAUCCCAGAAGCACUCAGUAAAGCAAUGCUGAAUCAGAUGAAAUAACCCAAACCAUUUGAGAGAAACCUACAGUCUCACCUCUAAGAAUAAAACCUGUCUCUGGGCCCAGGAGCUGUAGGCUGCAGCUCCUCCAUCCACAACUCACAGCCUCUCUCCUUCCUGCCCCUAUCCAUUCUUGCUUUAGUAGCUUCACUCUCCAUGCUAUUAAAUAAUUUAUUGUUAUAAUAAUACCUUGUGCCUCAGUGAUGCCUUUAAUCCAAGAUCUCAAAGAGUUCUUCUUCAUAGUACCCCCACUGACAUGGGGAGAUGGAGGUAUUUCCCCCACUUUAUGGGUGAGAAAAACCAAGACAACAUAGAGUAGAAAUGACUCACUAUGGAAAUCAAUGCCUUGGUUUCUUCUCUGGGCCCUUCCCCUCCUCCUUCCAAACGCUUGGCUGCCAACUUGUGCAUCAAAAUUUCAAAUUCCAGAGACAAAGGCCAUUGAGUUUUCACAAUAAAGGACAUUUGCAAA